rnacentral:rRNA from 1 species
GAUGAACGCUGGCGGCGUGCUUAACACAUGCAAGUCGAACGGAAAGGCCAGUGCUUGCACUGGUACUCGAGUGGCGAACGGGUGAGUAACACGUGGGUGAUCUGCCCUGCACUUCGGGAUAAGCCUGGGAAACUGGGUCUAAUACCGGAUAGGACAAUGGUUUGGAUGCCGUUGUGGAAAGUUUUUUCGGUGUGGGAUGAGCUCGCGGCCUAUCAGCUUGUUGGUGGGGUAAUGGCCUACCAAGGCGUCGACGGGUAGCCGGCCUGAGAGGGUGUACGGCCACAUUGGGACUGAGAUACGGCCCAGACUCCUACGGGAGGCAGCAGUGGGGAAUAUUGCACAAUGGGCGCAAGCCUGAGGCAGCGACGCCGCGUGGGGGAUGACGGCCUUCGGGUUGUAAACUCCUUUCGCUAGGGACGAAGCGUAUUUGUGACGGUACCUGGAGAAGAAGCACCGGCUAACUACGCG